UAGCAUAUCAAUAAGCGGAGGAAAAGAAACCAACAGGGAUUGCCUUAGUAACGGCGAGUGAAGCGGCAACAGCUCAAAUUUGAAAGCUGGCUCCUUCGGAGUCCGCGUUGUAAUUUGUAGAGGAUGAUUCGGCGAGGGCUCCCGCCUAAGUCCCCUGGAACGGGGCGUCAUAGAGGGUGAGAAUCCCGUAUGCGGUGGGUUGCCUUAGCCAUGUGAAUCUCCUUCGACGAGUCGAGUUGUUUGGGAAUGCAGCUCUAAAUGGGAGGUAAAUUUCUUCUAAAGCUAAAUACCGGCCAGAGACCGAUAGCGCACAAGUAGAGUGAUCGAAAGAUGAAAAGCACUUUGGAAAGAGAGUUAAAAAGUACGUGAAAUUGUUGAAAGGGAAGCGCUUGCAGCCAGACUUGUCCGCAGUUGCUCAACCGGUCUCCUGACCGGUGUACUCUUCUGCGGCCAGGCCAGCAUCAGUUCGGGCGGUCGGAUAAAGGCCCUGGGAAUGUAGCUCCUCUCGGGGAGUGUUAUAGCCCAGGGUGGAAUGCGGCCAGCCUGGACUGAGGAUCUCGCUUCGGCUAGGAUGCUGGCGUAAUGGCUGUAAGCGGCCCGUCUUGAAACACGGACCAAGGAGUCUAACAUCUAUGCGAGUGUUUGGGUGUCAAACCCAUGCGCGUAAUGAAAGUGAACGGAGGUGGGAACCCUCACGGGUGCACCAUCGACCGAUCCUGAUGUCUUCGGAUGGAUUUGAGUAAGAGCAUAGCUGUUGGGACCCGAAAGAUGGUGAACUAUGCCUGAAUAGGGUGAAGCCAGAGGAAACUCUGGUGGAGGCUCGCAGCGGUUCUGACGUGCAAAUCGAUCGUCAAAUUUGGGUAUAGGGGCGAAAGACUGAUCGAACCAUCUAGUAGCUGGUUCCUGCGAU
rnacentral:rRNA from 1 species